rnacentral:rRNA from 1 species
GAACCUGAAACCGUGUGCUUACAAGUAGUCAGAGCCCGUUAAUGGGUGAUGGCGUGCCUUUUGUAGAAUGAACCGGCGAGUUACGAUUUGAUGCAAGGUUAAGCAGUAAAUGUGGAGCCGUAGCGAAAGCGAGUCUGAAUAGGGCGUUUAGUAUUUGGUCGUAGACCCGAAACCAGGUGAUCUACCCUUGGUCAGGUUGAAGUUCAGGUAACACUGAAUGGAGGACCGAACCGACUUACGUUGAAAAGUGAGCGGAUGAACUGAGGGUAGCGGAGAAAUUCCAAUCGAACCUGGAGAUAGCUGGUUCUCUCCGAAAUAGCUUUAGGGCUAGCCUCAAGUGAUGAUUAUUGGAGGUAGAGCACUGUUUGGACGAGGGGCCCCUCUCGGGUUACCGAAUUCAGACAAACUCCGAAUGCCAAUUAAUUUAACUUGGGAGUCAGAACAUGGGUGAUAAGGUCCGUGUUCGAAAGGGAAACAGCCCAGACCACCAGCUAAGGUCCCAAAAUAUAUGUUAAGUGGAAAAGGAUGUGGCGUUGCCCAGACAACUAGGAUGUUGGCUUAGAAGCAGCCAUCAUUUAAAGAGUGCGUAAUAGCUCACUAGUCGAGUGACACUGCGCCGAAAAUGUACCGGGGCUAAACAUAUUACCGAAGCUGUGGAUUGUCCUUUGGACAAUGGUAGGAGAGCGUUCUAAGGGCGUUGAAGCAUGAUCGUAAGGACAUGUGGAGCGCUUAGAAGUGAGAAUGCCGGUGUGAGUAGCGAAAGACGGGUGAGAAUCCCGUCCACCGAUUGACUAAGGUUUCCAGAGGAAGGCUCGUCCGCUCUGGGUUAGUCGGGUCCUAAGCUGAGGCCGACAGGCGUAGGCGAUGGAUAACAGGUUGAUAUUCCUGUACCACCUAUAAUCGUUUUAAUCGAUGGGGGGACGCAGUAGGAUAGGCGAAGCGUGCGAUUGGAUUGCACGUCUAAGCAGUAAGGCUGAGUAUUAGGCAAAUCCGGUACUCGUUAAGGCUGAGCUGUGAUGGGGAGAAGACAUUGUGUCUUCGAGUCGUUGAUUUCACACUGCCGAGAAAAGCCUCUAGAUAGAAAAUAGGUGCCCGUACCGCAAACCGACACAGGUAGUCAAGAUGAGAAUUCUAAGGUGAGCGAGCGAACUCUCGUUAAGGAACUCGGCAAAAUGACCCCGUAACUUCGGGAGAAGGGGUGCUCUUUAGGGUUAACGCCCAGAAGAGCCGCAGUGAAUAGGCCCAAGCGACUGUUUAUCAAAAACACAGGUCUCUGCUAAACCGUAAGGUGAUGUAUAGGGGCUGACGCCUGCCCGGUGCUGGAAGGUUAAGAGGAGUGGUUAGCUUCUGCGAAGCUACGAAUCGAAGCCCCAGUAAACGGCGGCCGUAACUAUAACGGUCCUAAGGUAGCGAAAUUCCUUGUCGGGUAAGUUCCGACCCGCACGAAAGGCGUAACGAUUUGGGCACUGUCUCAACGAGAGACUCGGUGAAAUCAUAGUACCUGUGAAGAUGCAGGUUACCCGCGACAGGACGGAAAGACCCCGUGGAGCUUUACUGUAGCCUGAUAUUGAAAUUCGGCACAGCUUGUACAGGAUAGGUAGGAGCCUUUGAAACGUGAGCGCUAGCUUACGUGGAGGCGCUGGUGGGAUACUACCCUAGCUGUGUUGGCUUUCUAACCCGCACCACUUAUCGUGGUGGGAGACAGUGUCAGUCGGGCAGUUUGACUGGGGCGGUCGCCUCCUAAAAGGUAACGGAGGCGCUCAAAGGUUCCCUCAGAAUGGUUGGAAAUCAUUCAUAGAGUGUAAAGGCAUAAGGGAGCUUGACUGCGAGACCUACAAGUCGAGCAGGGUCGAAAGACGGACUUAGUGAUCCGGUGGUUCCGCAUGGAAGGGCCAUCGCUCAACGGAUAAAAGCUACCCCGGGGAUAACAGGCUUAUCUCCCCCAAGAGUUCACAUCGACGGGGAGGUUUGGCACCUCGAUGUCGGCUCAUCGCAUCCUGGGGCUGUAGUCGGUCCCAAGGGUUGGGCUGUUCGCCCAUUAAAGCGGUACGCGAGCUGGGUUCAGAACGUCGUGAGACAGUUCGGUCCCUAUCCGUCGUGGGCGUAGGAAAUUUGAGAGGAGCUGUCCUUAGUACGAGAGGACCGGGAUGGACAUACCUCUGGUGUACCAGUUGUCGUGCCAACGGCAUAGCUGGGUAGCUAUGUGUGGACGGGAUAAGUGCUGAAAGCAUCUAAGCAUGAAGCCCCCCUCAAGAUGAGAUUUCCCAACUUCGGUUAUAAGAUCCCUCAAAGAUGAUGAGGUUAAUAGGUUCGAGGUGGAAGCAUGGUGACAUGUGGAGCUGACGAAUACUAAUCGAUCGAAGACUUAAUCA